GACGAACGCUGGCGGCGUGCCUAAUACAUGCAAGUAGAACGCUGAAGAGAGGAGCUUGCUCUUCUUGAAUGAGUUGCGAACGGGUGAGUAACGCGUAGGUAACCUGCCUUGUAGCGGGGGAUAACCAUUGGAAACGAUAGCUAAUACCGCAUAACAAUGGGUGACACAUGUCAUUUAUUUGAAAGGGGCAAUUGCUCCACUACAAGAUGGACCUGCGUUGUAUUAGCUAGUAGGUGAGGUAACGGCUCACCUAGGCGACGAUACAUAGCCGACCUGAGAGGGUGAUCGGCCACACUGGGACUGAGACACGGCCCAGACUCCUACGGGAGGCAACAGUAGGGAAUCUUCGGCAAUGGGGGCAACCCUGACCGAGCAACGCCGCGUGAGUGAAGAAGGUUUUCGGAUCGUAAAGCUCUGUUGUAAGUCAAGAACGAGUGUGAGAGUGGAAAGUUCACACUGUGACGGUAGCUUACCAGAAAGGGACGGCUAACUACGUGCCAGCAGCCGCGGUAAUACGUAGGUCCCGAGCGUUGUCCGGAUUUAUUGGGCGUAAAGCGAGCGCAGGCGGUUUGAUAAGUCUGAAGUUAAAGGCUGUGGCUCAACCAUAGUUCGCUUUGGAAACUGUCAAACUUGAGUGCAGAAGGGGAGAGUGGAAUUCCAUGUGUAGCGGUGAAAUGCGUAGAUAUAUGGAGGAACACCGGUGGCGAAAGCGGCUCUCUGGUCUGUAACUGACGCUGAGGCUCGAAAGCGUGGGGAGCGAACAGG
rnacentral:rRNA from 1 species